rnacentral:rRNA from 1 species
UGGGGAAUUUUGCGCAAUGGGGGAAACCCUGACGCAGCAACGCCGCGUGCGGGAUGACGGCCUUCGGGUUGUAAACCGCUUUCAGUAGGGACGAAUAAUGACGGUACCUACAGAAGAAGCCCCGGCUAACUACGUGCCAGCAGCCGCGGUAAUACGUAGGGGGCGAGCGUUAUCCGGAUUCAUUGGGCGUAAAGCGCGCGUAGGCGGUCUUUUAAGCGGGACCUCUAAUCUCAGGGCUCAACCUUGAGCCGGGUUCCGAACUAAAAGACUCGAGUGUGGUAGGGGAGAUCGGAAUUCCCGGUGUAGCGGUGGAAUGCGCAGAUAUCGGGAAGAACACCGAUGGCGAAGGCAGAUCUCUGGGCCAUUACUGACGCUGAGGCGCGAAAGCUAGGGGAGCAAACAGG